UGGGGAAUAUUGGACAAUGGGCGCAAGCCUGAUCCAGCCAUGCCGCGUGAGUGACGAAGGCCUUAGGGUUGUAAAACUCUUUCGUCGGGGACGAUAAUGACGGUACCCGAAGAAGAAGCUCCGGCUAACUUCGUGCCAGCAGCCGCGGUAAUACGAAGGGAGCUAGCGUUGUUCGGAAUCACUGGGCGUAAAGCGCACGUAGGCGGAUAGUUAAGUCAGGGGUGAAAUCCCGGAGCUCAACCCCAGAACUGCCUUUGAUACUGGCUGUCUCGAGGUCGAGAGAGGUUGGUGGAAUUCCUAGUGUAGAGGUGAAAUUCGUAGAUAUUAGGAAGAACACCAGUGGCGAAGGCGGCCAACUGGCUCGAUACUGACGCUGAGGUGCGAAAGCGUGGGGAGCAAACAGGAUUAGAUACCCAAGUAGUCCCUGAGCGGGCUGGCAAGGCGCAU
rnacentral:rRNA from 1 species